rnacentral:rRNA from 1 species
AUACGGAGGGUGCGAGCGUUAUGCGGAUUUAUUAGGUUUAAAGGGUGUGUAGGCGGGAGCCUAAGUCAGUGGUGAAAUCUCACAGCUUAACUGUGAAACUGCCAUUGAAACUGGGUUUCUUGAGUAUAGUUGAGGUAGGCGGAAUGUGUAAUGUAGCGGUGGAAUGCAUAGAUAUUACACAGAACGCCGAUUGCGAAGGCAGCUUACUAAGCUAUUACUGACGCUGAUGCACGAAAGCGUGGGUAGCGAACAGGAUUAGAAACCCCAGUAGUCC